rnacentral:rRNA from 1 species
UCGAGGAUCUUUGGCAAUGGGCGCAAGCCUGACCAAGCGACGCCGCGUGUGCGAUGAAGGCCUUCGGGUUGUAAAGCACUGUCGAGGGGGAGUAAGACCCGAAAGGGUUUGAACUAUCCCUGGAGGAAGCUCGGGCUAAGUUCGUGCCAGCAGCCGCGGUAAGACGAACCGAGCGAACGUUGUUCGGAAUCACUGGGCUUAAAGGGCGCGUAGGCGGGUUCGUAAGUCUGUGGUGAAAGCCCCCAGCUUAACUGGGGAAGUGCCAUGGAUACUGCGAGUCUUGAGGAGGGUAGGGGCAUCUGGAACACUGGGUGGAGCGGUGAAAUGCGUUGAUAUCCAGUGGAACUCCGGUGGCGAAGGCGAGGUGCUGGACCCUUUCUGACGCUGAGGCGCGAAAGCCAGGGGAGCAAACGGGAUUAGAUACCCCUGUAGUCC